CAUGCAGGCGGUCGUACGCGUUUCGGGUGACAGCGGGUGGCUUAACUACCCGAGUGUUCGAAAGACGGUACGACUUGAGGGCUCGAGAGGGACACGGAAUUCCGGGUGGAGUGGUGAAAUGCGUAGAGAUCCGGAGGAACACCGAAGGCGAAGGCAGUGUCCUGGCGAGUGACUGACGCUGAGGUGCGAAAGCUAGGGGAGCGAAG
rnacentral:rRNA from 1 species